UUCCAUCUCUUCUCUUCUCUCUCUCUUUCUCUCAAAUUUGCCCUAAACACAUCUCAUUUGGGGCAUUUCUCUCUCUCACUCUCUUUCAGAUUUUACCUAAACACAUCUCAUUUGGGGCAUCUAUCUUUCUCUCUCUCAGAUUUGCAAAUGAGAUUGAGCUGGGCCAAGUCGAGUUGCGGAGUUACUCUGAUGGGUCGUCGCUCGGGUGGGAGACCGAGUCGAAGCAUGGCGAGGUCGAGAGGAAGAAAGGAACUCCAUGGAGAGAAGAAGAACACAGGGUCCACAUAACAAGAACUUGGUCAAUUGUGAUAAAAAGUUGAGGAGUAUUUUGUUGGGUAAACCUCAAGUUGAGCUUGCUGAACUUCCUACACUAAUCAAGUUGCAUUUCCCAAAAGAGGCAAAAGGAUUUUAACUAUUUGAAUUAAGGUGCUUAUCUUCUUUAAAUUCUCCUUAUAUACAUUACCAAACACUCUUGCUGCUUCACGUUGUGAUAAAUUAAUUGGUGAGAUAUUUUUAUGUUCCAUUUUGUUACUAGCUAAAUGGAUUCAGUUUUUGAUUUCCAUUA